rnacentral:misc_RNA from 1 species
UACGUAGGUGGCAAGCGUUGUCCGGAAUUAUUGGGCGUAAAGCGCGCGCAGGCGGUUCCGUAAGUCUUGUGUUUAAGCCCGAGGCUCAACCUCGGUACGCAUGGGAAACUGCGGGACUAGAGUGCAGGAGAGGAAAGUGGAAUUCCACGUGUAGCGGUGAUAUGCGUAGAUAUGUGGAGGAACACCAGUGGCGAAGGCGACUUUCUGGCCUGUAACUGACGCUGAGGCGCGAAAGCGUGGGGAGCAAACAGG